UAGCUAGUUGGUGGGGUAAGGGCCUACCAAGGCGACGAUCGGUAGCUGGUCUGAGAGGACGGCCAGCCACACUGGAACUGAGACACGGUCCAGACUCCUACGGGAGGCAGCAGUGGGGAAUAUUGGACAAUGGGGGCAACCCUGAUCCAGCAAUGCCGCGUGUGUGAAGAAGGCCUGAGGGUUGUAAAGCACUUUCAGUGGGGAGGAGGAUUGAUUGUUUAAGAGAUGAUUAAUUGGACGUUACCCACAGAAGAAGCACCGGCUAACUCCGUGCCAGCAGCCGCGGUAAUACGGAGGGUGCGAGCGUUAAUCGGAAUUACUGGGCGUAAAGGGUGCGUAGGUGGUUGUAUAAGUUAUCUGUGAAAUUCCUGGGCUUAACCUGGGGUGGUCAGAUAAGACUGUAUGACUCGAGUAUGGGAGAGGGUAGUGGAAUUUCCGGUGUAGCGGUGAAAUGCGUAGAGAUCGGAAGGAACACCAGUGGCGAAGGCGGCUACCUGGCCUAAUACUGACACUGAGGCACGAAAGCGUGGGGAGCAAACAGGAUUAGAUACCCUGGUAGUCCACGCUGUAAACGAUGUCAACUAGCUGUUGGUUAUAUGAAUAUAAUUAGUGGCGC
rnacentral:rRNA from 1 species